rnacentral:lncRNA from 1 species
GCACACUUAUUUCCUUCCUCUUUUCCACACCAUGGUUCCCUUAUUUUAAUAAGAUCUGAUCUUAUCCUUUUAGGGGUGUGAAGACUUUGUGGAGGUGCAACAAAAAGAAGGGUGUGCGUGAGGUUUUUGACGUGAAGGAUGGAGGUGCUUCUUUCUUAAAUCACAACUCUCUCCCAAUGCCUCCUCUUGUUUUAUCCCCUUCAUCCAACAUCC